rnacentral:rRNA from 1 species
GUGAGGAAUAUUGGACAAUGGGCGCAAGCCUGAUCCAGCCAUGCCGCGUGCAGGAAGACGCAUCUAUGGUGUGUAAACUGCUUUUGUACGGGAAGAAACACUCCCUCGUGAGGGAGCUUGACGGUACCGUAAGAAUAAGGAUCGACUAACUCCGUGCCAGCAGCCGCGGUAAUACGGAGGAUCCAAGCGUUAUCCGGAAUCAUUGGGUUUAAGGGUCCGUAGGCGGUUUAAUAAGUCAGUGGUGAAAGCCCAUCGCUCAACGAUGGAACGGCCAUUGAUACUGUUAGACUUGAAUUACAAGGAAGUAACUAGAAUAUGUAGUGUAGCGGUGAAAUGCUUAGAUAUUACAUGGAAUACCAAUUGCGAAGGCAGGUUACUACUUGUGGAUUGACGCUGAUGGACGAAAGCGUGGGGAGCGAACAGGAUUAGAUACCCGAGUAGUCC